UACAGAGGGGGCAAGCGUUGUUCGGAAUUACUGGGCGUAAAGGGCGCGUAGGCGGCCCGCUAAGUCGAACGUGAAAUCCCCGAGCUCAACUCGGGAACUGCGUCCGAUACUGGCGGGCUUGAAUCCGGGAGAGGGAUGUGGAAUUCCAGGUGUAGCGGUGAAAUGCGUAGAUAUCUGGAGGAACACCGGUGGCGAAGGCGGCAUCCUGGACCGGUAUUGACGCUGAGGCGCGAAAGCCAGGGAGCAAACGGG
rnacentral:rRNA from 1 species